rnacentral:rRNA from 1 species
GACGAACGCUGGCGGCAGGCUUAACACAUGCAAGUCGAGCGGGCGGCGUACGGGUGAGUAAUGUCUGGGCCACUUCCUGGUGGAGGGGGAUAACUACUGGACACUGUAGCUAAUACCGCAUACCAUCAGAUGUGCCCGGAUGGGAUUAGCUAGGAGGUGGGGUAAUGGCUCACCUAGGCCACGAUCCCUAGCUGGUCUGAGAGGAUGACCAGCCACACUGGAACUGAGACACGGUCCAGACUCCUACGGGAGGCAGCAGUGGGGAAUAUUGCACAAUGGGCGCAAGCCUGAUGCAGCCAUGCCGCGUGUGUGAAGAAGGCCUUCGGGUUGUAAAGCACUUUCAGCGAGGAGGCGUUACUCGCAGAAGAAGCACCGGCGAACUCCGUGCCAGCAGCCGCGGUAAUUC